rnacentral:rRNA from 1 species
GACAGAGGGUGCAAACGUUGUUCGGAAUUACUGGGCGUAAAGCGCGUGUAGGCGGCCCGGAAAGUCGGAUGUGAAAGCCCUGGGCUUAACCUAGGAAGUGCAUUCGAAACUCCCGUGGCUUGAGUUCUGGAGAGGGAAGCGGAAUUCUCGGUGUAGAGGUGAAAUUCGUAGAUAUUCGCAAGAACACCAGUGGCGAAGGCGGCUCACUGGCCCGAUACUGACGCUGAGGUGCGAAAGCGUGGGGAGCAAACAGG